CUUAUGCAGAAAAUGAAUACUGGACUGAUUCAGUAAAAUCUUAAAGUUAUCUGAGCAUCUCUAUAGAUGUUAUAAAGCUAUAAGAUCUAUCGAGCUGUAUUCUAUCUUGUUUUGGUUCUGGGUAAAUUUUCUUCAACAGUCUAAUUCAAUAGCAAUAUACUGCAUAUCAGAAUCUCAGCAGGAUAUUAAUGGUUUUGAAGGUUUUGUGGUAAAAUAAAAUAACAUUCCUUGUAACCAUCUCUGAUAUGAUGUAUCAGAUGUAGAUUCUUUUUAUUUUCCUACCUGUUUUUCCUUGUCUUCCUUGGGUCUGCAGGAGCUAAACGUAAGUGAGAAAAGCCAGGCACAUGAGUUCAAAAUGAAUGGAAAAAAACAGCAGGAAGCUUCAGCAGUUUUUUCCAAGCCCCACUUGUUUGCUUCACUUGCACUGCAUCUCCUAACUUCACCAAAUGCAACAGUAUCAACAUACUGAGCCUGCCUGCAAGUACUGGAGCCACAGGUUUUGGAAAGUCUAUGCUACUUGUAAGGAAAGCAGUUUGCUCUUCUGUCCUUGACAUAUGUACGGAAAGACAAGAAAAGUGAAAAGAGGUGGGGUUGCCAGUGAUUCAUUGUCUUGUGGCCUGAGUGAAGAAAUAUGCACAGCUGCUGCUGUCAGCAUGUGUAAUUAAUUUUAGUCUGGAAAGCUUUUCUAGGUUGUAGUUUUAAAUGAAAUAGAUUUGAAGAGAACCAUCUAUUUCUGCAGUUGUUCCAGCUGAUAUUUCGGCAUGCUCUUAUGUUUCUAAGUACUGUCUUCUGACAAUGUUCUAUGCAUGUCACUUUUUUUCAUAUAGACUCCUUUCUUCUUUUUUAUAGGUGGUAAAUUGAGCAAGAAAGAAAAGGGGUAUUAAUCUUUCUAUCUAAGUUUGUUGGUUCUGAAAUUGGAAAUGCUCUUCAGUGAAAGAGAUUUUAUUACCCUCACUCAGGAACUAGGUAGCAGAAAAUAACAACAUUAUAUCAAUUCAUACUUGGCAACUGUGAUAAAAUUUCUGUUUUCAUCUGGUUUGGAAUGUUUGUUCCAUGAUCAUGAUUUUUCCCUUUGUUCCUUUCAUGAUCUGGAGAGCUGGUAGAUUGAGCACAUCUUCAUUCACCUUUGCAGAAAAAGAUAUGAUUCAGGCUUAGGCUUUUGAGUUGGCUGAAGGUUGAAGAUCCUGGAGUAAAGGUAAAAUAAAGCAAGACUGCAGACCACCCUGGAGGAAAGCUAUAACCUAGAGGUAUAUUUCCAACAGGCAACGUGCUCAGAAAUGAAGAGGAACAACACUCUCCUGGAUCUCUCUAGGUUUUCUUGGAAGUUUGUCACACAGCAUUACCACCCUGUUAUAGCCUAACUAAGUCACUUCCCAAGAGGAUAUAGUUAAAAGCAUGUGUUACAGAACUAAAGUUGAUUGUGUUAAUGAAGGAUGGUGCUGAGGAUGAAGAGUGAAACUGGAGACAAUGAUGGAAACUGAAAAGAAUGCACUCUCGAUGGUAUUCACGUGCACUUCACAGAACUGUUUAUCCUGAACAGCAGAAGUCAAGAGUUGCAUGCACUGAGUUCUUCAGUAGAAAAAUAGAUUUGGCUGAGUAAGGAACAGGACUACAGAUUUCCUCAGAAAUCUCCUUAACAGCCACCAUCUUCAACAGUUCCGAAAAGAAGCACACAAACUACAGGCCACGGUGGACAGGAGCCAGUCCAGUUACAUGGAGAAGUACCCUUACACGCAUGUAGGGAUUUCUGUUCGGAAUGGAUUAUGUUUGCUGAACAUGCCAGUACUGGGAAAGAGACUAUAUCAAUCUCUUCGUUUGAAAAAAAGAUGUAUACAAAAGGAAGCAGAAGAGAACAGAAAGAAAAAUGUAAGUUCAAUGACAAGAGCAGUGUAGUUUAGCAGCUCUGAGGAACAAUCCCAACCUUGACUUCAUCUUUACCAUCUCCAUGUGUUUUGGGCAAGUUACUUAACCCAGAUUUUUAACAAGAGUCAGUCAUUUGGAUGGUUGGACUAGAUGACCUUGGAGGUCUUUUCCAACCUUGAUGAUUCUAUAAUUUCACUCCUAUAUGAAAUUUUGGUUUUAAGUUGCUUUGUGUGUCUGCCUAUAGGAUGAUUUGCUUCAUGCCUCCCAAGAAUAUAUUUCUAGUCCUUACAGUCAGUUAGCUCAGAUGGAGGUUUCUUCAGUGCACGUUGUUACAAUUUGAAGAAAUACGUGCCCUCUACAGAUCUUAAUUAAAAAAAUAAUUGAGUUAUCACAGCAGCAACAGAACACACUGGGAGCUAUAUACAGACAUAGACAAUCCUCAGGAAUGCUUAACAGUCUCUUAAAAAAAUUCAUCUCCAGGUAUCACAUCCCAGACCCCAAAUCAUUAGAUUCUUCAGAUCUUUUUUCAUUUGUAAAAGAAAGUUCCAUUUCAUUACCCUUCAGGGCUUUUGAGAAAAUGAACUAAUUCAUGUUCAAGAAGCAAAUUGAUACUGUACUACU